rnacentral:rRNA from 1 species
AUACCACUCUAACAAUGCUAGGAUUCUAACCCUACACCGUUAUCCGGUUAGGGGACAGUUUCAGGUGGUCAGUUUGACUGGGGCGGUCGCCUCCCAAAAGGUAACGGAGGCGUGCAAAGGUUUCCUCAGGCCGGUCGGAAAUCGGUCGUAGAGUGUAAAGGCAUAAGGAAGCUUGAUUGUGAGACCUACAAGUCGAACAAAGACGAAAGUCGGCCUUAGUGAUCCGACGGUUCCGAGUGGAAGGGCCGUCGCUCAACGGAUAAAAGUUACUCUAGGGAUAACA